UGGGUGGGGGAGAAAGACAGGCAUUAUUAGUCUUUGCUUUUGUUUUUCAAGCAUAAUUUGAUUUUCUUCUGGCUCAGAAAACUUCUUUAGGGAAAUUCCCUUCUCUUUUGUGUUCAGUUGAACCUAGAAAUGUCCCCUUAAGAACCAACAUUUUAGGAAAAUUCUUUUCUCAGGCUUGAGCCUAUUAAAACUUACCCAGACUUCAACAUGAGUUGUCACUUCUCUUCAUUAUUUUGCUUUCUAUUUUGGUUUAUAGCUAUUUCCUGUCUGAUUCUGAGCCUCAGUCCUUAGUCUACCAUCUUUACCCAUAGUUUUUUGGUGGCCUACACCACUGUUGUGUUUUUGAUUCAAGGUUUUAUAAGCCAAAAUUGGGAUGGGAGGGAUACCUAACCAUUUAUAUCAAUUUGUGACAGAGUUGUUUGUGUAUGUUUUAAUAAAAUGUGUAUUUAUUCAGUAUUUCAACAUUCUGUGGGCAAAAUAAAAACAACCA
rnacentral:lncRNA from 1 species